UAAGGAAUAUUGGGCAAUGGAGGCAACUCUGACCCAGCCAUCCCGCGUGAAGGAUUAAGGCCCUAUGGGUUGUAAACUUCUUUUGCUUGGGAAGAAAUCAGGACAUUUAUGUGCUGUUGACGGUACCUUGCGAAUAAGCACCGGCUAACUCCGUGCCAGCAGCCGCGGUAAUACGGAGGGUGCAAGCGUUAUCCGGAAUCACUGGGUUUAAAGGGUGCGUAGGCGGUUUGAUAAGUCAGAGGUGAAAGCUAGCAGCUUAACUGUUAAAUUGCCUUUGAUACUGUCAGACUUGAAUCAGGUUGAGGUAGGCGGAAUGUGACAUGUAGCGGUGAAAUGCAUAGAUAUGUCAUAGAACACCAAUUGCGUAGGCAGCUUGCUGGGCUUGAAUUGACGCUGAGGCACGAAAGCGUGGGGAUCAAACAGG
rnacentral:rRNA from 1 species